rnacentral:sRNA from 12 species
UGCCUAAACUCGUAGCAAUACGGGCAUGGCUUUCAAAACCCUUCGCAGAUACUGAACCCCGUGUUCAGCGACUCUGCGAAGGGUCAUAUUCCGAAAGGAGUAUGGGCGGCCGAAAGGUUGCU